UACGUAGGGGGCAAGCGUUGUCCGGAUUUAUUGGGCGUAAAGAGCUCGUAGGCGGUUUGUCGCGUCUGCCGUGAAAGUCCGGGGCUCAACUCCGGAUCUGCGGUGGGUACGGGCAGACUAGAGUGAUGUAGGGGAGACUGGAAUUCCUGGUGUAGCGGUGAAAUGCGCAGAUAUCAGGAGGAACACCAAUGGCGAAGGCAGCUCGCUGGGACGGUACUGACGCUGAGGCGCGAAAGCGUGGGGAGCAAACAGG
rnacentral:rRNA from 1 species